rnacentral:rRNA from 1 species
AGCAGCCGCGGUAAUUCCAGCUCCAAUAGCGUAUAUUAAAGUUGUUGCAGUUAAAAAGCUCGUAGUUGAAUUUCGGGAUCAAUUUAUUGGUCGUGCUAUCGUACGUACUGGUAUUAUUGAUUCCUACCUUCUGACGAACCAUGAUGUCAUUAAUUUGGUGUCUUGGGGAAUCAGGACUGUUACUUUGAAAAAAUUAGAGUGUUUAAAGCAGGCUCACGCUUGAAUACAUUAGCAUGGAAUAACGAAAUAGGACGUUUGAUUCUAUUUUGUUGGUUUCUAGGAUCGACGUAAUGAUUAAUAGGGAUAGUUGGGGGCAUUAGUAUUCAAUUGUCAGAGGUGAAAUUCUUGGAUUUAUUGAAGACUAACUACUGCGAAAGCAUUUGCCAAGGAUGUUUUCAUUAAUCAAGAACGAAAGUUAGGGGAUCGAAGACGAUCAGAUACCGUCGUAGU